UUUUACCAUAAACAUUUAUUUAUAGUCUGUCAAGCAAAGUCUGUCAGUAGCAAUGUAAAGCAAACUGAAGUAUGGCAACACUCACAGAGCAGUAUUGCGCUAAGAAAAGCAGCAAUGUACAUCGAACCGAAACAUAUUUUUUUCCGCUGAGCGCGCUCUUCAUACGUCAACUAAAAUUGCCGCUCGCGGUUUAUUGAAGCAUUUGGAAAUUGUUAUUAUUAUGAGAGGGACAAUUUAAACUGGAGUAAAAACGAUGUCAAUCAAUAUGAUAAACGAGAUCAAAAAAUACCUAUUUGCAAACGGACUAUGCUGGAGAAAAUAAUGUUUGAAUCAAGUCAUUGCUUCCGCAGCAAACUUAGAAGACAAAUAGGGAGCAAAGAGAACAUGAGCACCACGGUAGAAAGCUGUUUUUAACAUCAGUUCAGAAACUGAAGAAGCCCAAAGAAAAUAAUUAUGCCACUUGUUAAUUGUAAAUUAGUGUAUUUCUCUUGAACAAUGUCACAUUCACAUACCAGUGUAAUUUUGAAAUGGUUUUACAAUAUAUUUAUAUAAAUAUACAGAUUAAAAAUAAAUAAAACACAACUGCAGAUAU